GACGAACGCUGGCGGCGUGCCUAAUACAUGCAAGUCGAGCGGACGAAUCGAAAGCUUGCUCUUGCUUCGUCAGCGGCGGACGGGUGAGUAACACGUGGGCAACAUGCCCUGUAGACGGGGAUACUACCGCGAAAUCGGUGCUAAUACCGGAUAAUACGAAAUGUUGCAUGACGUUCCGUUGAAAUUCGGCGCAAGCUGCCGUUACAGGAUGGCCCCGCGGCGCAUUAGCUAGUUGGUGAGGUAACGGCUCACCAAGGCGACGAUACGUAGCCGACCAGAGGGGGAGAUUGGCCACCUUGGGACUGAGCCUCGGCCCACACUCUGACAGGGAGCAACGGUAGGGAAUCUUCCGCAAUGCACGAGAGGCUGACGGAGCAACGCCGCGUGAGCGAAGAAGGCCUUCGGGUCGUAGAGCUCUGUUGUUAGGGAAGAACAAGUAACGCAGUAACUGGCGUUACCGUGACAGUACCUAACGAGAAAGCCACGGCUAACUACGUG
rnacentral:rRNA from 1 species